AAAACAUCGCCUCCUGCAAACAACAUAUAGGAGGUCUUACCUGCCCAGUGACGUUAAACGGCCGCGGUAUUUUGACCGUGCAAAGGUAGCGCAAUCACUUGUCUUUUAAAUAAAGACCCGUAUGAAUGGUGAAACGAGGGCUUAACUGUCUCCCCCCUCUAGUCAAUGAAAUUGAUCCACCCGUGCAGAAGCGGGUAUAAAUAUACAAGACGAGAAGACCCUUUGGAGCUUAAGAUAAAACACCAACUAUGUCAACUNGGUCUAAGUCUUCGGUUGGGGCGACCACGGGAGAAAAUAAAGCUCCCAUGCGGAAUGGGNACCUAAAACCAAGAGAGACAUCUCUAAGACACAGAACAUCUGACCGAUCCGGCUNACUUGCCGACCAACGAACCAAGUUACCCUAGGGAUAACAGCGCAAUCCCCUUCCAGAGUCCAUAUCGACAAGGGGGUUUACGACCUCGAUGUUGGAUCAGGAUAUCCUAAUGGUGCAGCCGCUAUUAAGGGUUC
rnacentral:rRNA from 1 species